rnacentral:rRNA from 1 species
CCCGCUCAGAAACUUAAAGGAAUUGACGGGGGCCCGCACAAGCGGUGGAGCAUGUGGUUUAAUUCGAAGCAACGCGAAGAACCUUACCAGGCCUUGACAUGCAGAGAACUUUCCAGAGAUGGAUUGGUGCCUUCGGGAACUCUGACACAGGUGCUGCAUGGUUGUCGUCAGCUCGUGCCGUGAGGUGUCGGGUUAAGUCCCAUAACGAGCGCAACCCCUACUGCUAGUUGCCAGCGGGUCAUGCCGGGGACUCUAGCGGAACUGCCAGCGUAAGCUGCGAGGAAGGUGGGGAUGACGUCAAAUCAGCACGGCCCUUACGUCCAGGGCUACACACGUGUUACAAUGGCCGAUACAGAGGGCAGCUACCUGGUGACAGGAUGCAAAUCUCCAAAGUCGGUCUCAGUUCGGAUCGGAGUCUGCAACCCGACUCCGUGAAGUUGGAUUCGCUAGUAAUCGCGCAUCAGCCAUGGCGCGGUGAAUACGUUCCCGGGCCUU